UGAGAGGAGCUGUUUUUAGUACGAGAGGACCGAAAUGGACGAACCUCUGGUGUACCAGUUAUCCUGCCAAGGGUAAGUGCUGGGUAGCUAAGUUCGGAAAGGAUAACCGCUGAAGGCAUCUAAGCGGGAAGCCCCCCUCAAGACUACGUAUCCCUCAGGGUUUAACCCUGCUAAAGACUCCUUGUAGACUACGAGGUUGAUAGGUUGGAGGUCUAAGUUCAGUAAUGUAUUAAGCCGACCAAUACUAAUAAGUCGUGAGGCUUGACCAUAU
rnacentral:rRNA from 1 species